rnacentral:lncRNA from 1 species
UUUGUAGCAAAGAGCAAGCAAAACUAACCUAUUCUUCACGAACGUGAAAGGAUUUAAACCUAUUACCAUCUUGAGAGACAAAGGAUAUCCAUAUGUUUGAGUUCUGCUUUAUGAACAAGGGAAGAAGACUAACAACUUGCCUGAACGGGUGAUCUUCUGCUUGAAUUAACUGAACACUAGAUCUGAGUGGUGGAAGCCUUGAGUUCAGAAAGAGGUCCUAAAUGGUUGCUUCUAAGAGUUAUCAUCAACCCAAGGGAGAAUUUCUAUCUUAAGGCCACUACAAGAAAGGAACACUACAAAAGUGGUGGAGUGAGAGAAGAACAGAAAGAGGGGACUACCCAUGAUAAAUAUUAA